rnacentral:rRNA from 1 species
GAUCAUGGCUCAGGAUGAACGCUAGCGGCAGGCUUAACACAUGCAAGUCGAGGGGCAGCAUAAUGGAUAGCAAUAUCUAUGGUGGCGACCGGCGCACGGGUGCGUAACGCGUAUGCAACCUACCUUUAACAGGGGGAUAACACUGAGAAAUUGGUACUAAUACCCCAUAAUAUCAUAGAAGGCAUCUUUUAUGGUUGAAAAUUCCGAUGGUUAGAGAUGGGCAUGCGGUUGUA